GCUGACAAGCCAGAGACGACCAAGGAGCAACUGGGAGAGUUCUACGAAGCUCUCGACUGCUUGCGCAUUCCCAAGUCAGAUGUCGUGUACACCGAUUGGAAAAAGGAUAAGUGUGAGCCACUGGAGAAGCAGCACGAGAAGGAGAGGAAACAGGAGGAGGGGGAAUCCUAGCAGGACACAGCCUUGGAUCAGGACAGAGACUUGGGGGCCAUCCUGCCCCUCCAACCCGACAUGUGUACCUCAGCUUUUUCCCUCACUUGCAUCAAUAAAGCUUCUGUGUUUGGAAC
rnacentral:lncRNA from 1 species